rnacentral:lncRNA from 1 species
CCACCGGCACCAUUGCUUGAUCCACUCCUGGAUGAUAUUGCUGGAUUGUUCUGUUCUUCAGCCUCCUUUCACGGGAUACCAGGUACUACUGACUGUGAAACUGUCACGAUAAGUUUACUAUCAUCAGCAGCAAAUUCAGCAGCACCAAUUCAAGGCAGCAGGGCUUCAGCAGCACCAUGUCCAAGCAGCAGUACUUCAGAUAGAGGCCACAGAAAAGUCUUAAAGAGCUACAAAUGGAGUUCUACACAGUCUCUAUACAAAAUGAGAGGGAAAAGUUCAAACUCAUACAAGAACAGACAGUCUUAUGCAGAGAACUUAGAGAGAACAUUCCGAAGUUGUCCUUAGUCUUGGAUGCAUUGUGUACAAAAAAGAUGAAGAGUGACUUUUAUAUUGACUUGAAUACAUUGUUUGCUUGUUUGACAAUUUAAAUUUUAUCUGUACUUGUUUCAGUAUAAGCUGAAGUGCUCAACAUAAAUAAAAAUCUGCUGUAAUCAGA